rnacentral:lncRNA from 1 species
CUAUCCAAAAUUCUUUUUUUUUUUUGGAAGGUAACGUUGUCAAACAGGAGCUUAAAUGAAUGCAUUUGGUUUCGCUCUAAUAGGACGAGUUACUUGGUAUCAAAGCCACGCAAUUGACCUAAGUUCAAGUCUCGUCAUCACCCUUUUACUAAAAGGCGUACACAUGUUAGAUUUAAUUAAAAAAAAUUGAACUCGGCCUACACAUAUGGGGACGUGCUGAAAAUAAAAUUUAAUUGAAAGCGUUCGAUCCACCUGUGAUAGUUGAAUCUCUUAGAUGAGUAGAUUUAGCCCUUAUUUGUCAUCCAUUUUCUCUCAUUAUUUUUUCUACAGUACUCAUUUUAAACCAUACAUUCUUCAUUAAAAUAAUAUUAUACGUAAAUCAAAAACUUUUUCUUCUUUUUUAACCAUACAUUUCUACAUCAAUCACUAUUCCAUAAUACAUUCUUCCCAAAUAAUCGGUGACAAACACACCCUUAACAGGUGGAAGGGAGUACAAGUAUAGGAGUAAAUGUACUAAGGAUAAAUUUUAAUGCAAUUGAAACAGGAUGUUUGUUGGAUCAUGCAAGCGCCUCCGCAUAGUGAAAGGAACAGAGGCAAUAGGACUCGGUUAGUAUCCUCGACCAAUUCUUUUGUUUUUCCCUCAAUAACUUGUAGAUUUUGUCGUAUGCCUCUCUUUCUUAAUUUUGUACUUUAUUGUUCACUUCAAUUGUAUGCAUCGAUUCCCCUCAUGCCCCUAACAUAAUAAUUUAUACUCCGAUGGCUCGAAUAUAAUUGUACAUUUCGAAUAAUUUGACAUUACAAAAUAAGUGAAACCAUGAAUUUGAGUUGCAGCUCCUAGAGCCGUGGAGAAAUGCAAGAACAGAAGCUAAAGUAGUGAAUUGCAGCAAAGCCUGCUCUUUUGUUCUCUGUGGUCCAAAGGCAAAAGGCACAAACGCAGGAGAAUGUUGGAUUAUGUUUUUCUUAUAUAUCAUAUGGUUUGUUGUAAUUUAUUGUUAAUCAACAGUGCUGAAAGUUUCUAAGUAUUCAUUAUUAUGGACAUAAACAAUAAAUAUAUUUGUGCUUAAGACUAUUUGACUAGCUUGUUUAUCACCAAUAAUGCCAUAAUCAUGUACUUGUUUAAUUAUUAGACUGUGUUAUUGUACUCCUUGAUAUCUUGAUUUAUAUGUGGAGUUCACAG